GUGGAUACAGCAGUGUUACAGAACAGUUCUCCACAGUCACUGUCCACAUGGGUCAGUGGGACCAAGAAGCACUCUGCUAAUGUGUGACUCUGACCAGCAACAUCCAGCAAGACCCAGGCAGCGUUUUCUAUCUCCCUGCUGGAGUUUUUUGUUUGUGACUAGAGAGUCAGAUUUUUGUUGAGCCUCACACUUGCAGAGGUUAAUACACGCUACUGAUCCCUGAUGGGAGAAUCAUCACCUCUGCCAACAAAGAAGCCUGGUGGAUGUUUGUUUGCAGUCUGAUGAUGGGACAUCAUGCUGUGCAUCUUCAAAUCUUUUUGCAGGAUCAGAAAACAAAACCAGGAGGCCUGUAAAUGUUUCUUCUCCAAUUGGAUGAUGAUAAGACUGUGACACGGGAUGCCACCUUUAGUCUUGUGAUGAAGCAAAGCUCAGGAAGAAGUGGGAUUAAAUGGUACCCACAUGUGUGCUGCUGAGAAGGAUGUACAGGGGCACCUGCAGCCAAAUCCAAGCCUCCUCAGCAACUUCAGGUCUGUCAGCGUGCUGAGGUCACAGAAACAAGAAAAGCAGCUUCAGACUUCAGAGUGUUGUUUACAG